UACGAAGGGGGCUAGCGUUGCUCGGAAUCACUGGGCGUAAAGCGCACGUAGGCGGUUCUUUAAGUCAGGGGUGAAAUCCUGGAGCUCAACUCCAGAACUGCCUUUGAUACUGGGGAUCUCGAGUCCGGGAGAGGUGAGUGGAACUCCGAGUGUAGAGGUGGAAUUCGUAGAUAUUCGGAAGAACACCAGUGGCGAAGGCGGCUCACUGGCCCGGUACUGACGCUGAGGUGCGAAAGCCAGGGGAGCAAACGGG
rnacentral:rRNA from 1 species